rnacentral:rRNA from 1 species
UACGGGGGGGGCAAGCGUUGUUCGGAAUUACUGGGCGUAAAGGGCUCGUAGGCGGCCAACUAAGUCGGAUGUGAAAUCCCCAGGCUCAACUUGGGAACUGCAUCCGAUACUGGAUGGCUUGAAUUCGGGAGAGGGAUGCAGAAUUCCAGGUGUAGCGGUGAAAUGCGUAGAUAUCUGGAGGAACACCGGUGGCGAAGGCGGCGUUCUGGACUGCUACUGACACUGAGGAACGAAAGCCAGGGGAGCAAACGGG